AGCAACCACUAGAAUAACAACAAAAAGAGAUACCUGCCAGGGAAGAGAUAGAGAAUCUAACAAGUAAACCAAACCCAAAACUUCUGGAGGCUUAGAAAUUUUGGAGCCAUUUAGUAUAAGGGAAGAUAGCUCUGGGGAAUCCCUGAAGCAGCAUCCAGAGCCAGGAGAGGGGGGCAAUGCCAGAAGGUUUGCCACUACAAUGUUGAAGAGAAGAGGUGAGAGUAGACAUUCUUACUUUUUUCCCAAUUUCAAGAGAGAAGCAUUCAAUCUGUCCCCAUGCACUGGAACUUCUUGGCUGGACUCCUAGACUCCAACAAAGGUACUUUCAUCUACAGGUUCAUGCAUCUGAUCACUGACCCAAGGGACCAGGACCAGGACCUGAGGGACAGGCCCCUUGUUGCAUAGCAGGAGACUUGGACUGUAUCCUUCUUGCCAGCCUGUAGAUCUGGAGAGGGGUCCUAGAAAAGGCAGAAUCAUCCAGGACUAUUUCUCAAACUCAUCUAUAAAAUAAAUCACUUCUACCUCCUAAAAGGAACAUCAGUAGUGCUACCUUGAUGGAAAUCCUUCUACAUGGGAAUGCCUGGGUGGCUCAGCGGUUGAGUGUCUGCCUUCGGCUCAGGAUGUGAUCCCUGAGUUCUGGGAUUGAGUCCCACCUCUCUCUGCCUAUGUCUCUGCUUCUCUCUGUGUGUC